rnacentral:rRNA from 1 species
GUCUAUGACCAUGCCAUCCUGAACAAGCCCAAUGUCUGAUCUUGGAAGCUAAGCAGGGUUGGGCCUGGUUAGUACUUGGAUGGGGGACCACCUAGGGAGACCAGGUGCUGUAGGCA